rnacentral:rRNA from 1 species
UACGUAGGGUGCGAGCGUUAAUCGGAAUUACUGGGCGUAAAGCGUGCGCAGUCGGUUAUUUAAGUCGGAUGUGAAAUCCCCGGGCUCAACCUGGGAAUUGCAUUCGAUACUGGAUGGCUAGAGUUCGGCAGAGGGAAGUGGAAUUCCUGGUGUAGCGGUGAAAUGCGCAGAUAUCAGGAGGAACACCGGUGGCGAAGGCGGCAUCCUGGACCGACACUGACGCUGAGGAGCGAAAGCCAGGGGAGCAAACGGG